rnacentral:misc_RNA from 1 species
UCCGGUUUAUCACCGGCAGUCUCCUUAGAGUUCCCACCAUUACGUGCUGGCAACUAAGGCCGAGGGUUGCGCUCGUUGCGGGACUUAACCCAACAUCUCACGACACGAGCUGACGACAACCAUACAGCACCUGUCUCCGGUCCAGCCGAACUGAAGGAGUCCGUCUCUGGUCUCCGCGACCGGGAUGUCAAGGGCUGGUAAGGUUCUUCGCGUUGCUUCGAAUUGAACCACAUGCUCCACCGCUUGUGCGGGCCCCCGUCAAUUCCUUUGAGUUUUAGCCUUGCGGCCGUACUCCCCAGGCGGGGCGCUUAAUGCGUUAGCUGCGGCACGGAGGACGUGGAAUGUCCCCCACACCUAGCGCCCAACGUUUACGGCGUGGACUAC